rnacentral:lncRNA from 10 species
CUUCACGGCAAAACUGCUGGCGAGUGUGCCCUUUCUGCAGAAAAGAGAAGCCAGCACUCGCCAGAUCUUUGGCCACCCCGAGGUGUCGUGUGCAUAAGGGAAGAUGAGAGGCUGGUUGACGCCCACCCUUCACCAGUUUUGUAAAUAACAAGCUGGCGCCCCAGAACCCAUCCACAGCAGCUUUUUCAGUGGCAUUAUGCAUUCGUGGUGCAAGCAUCCUUACUGUGCUUCAAUCAGUGGCUUCAGUCGUGGCCGGCGCACACUGAUGGAGUUUCUUCCUCGUCGCGGGUCAUAUUUUCCUCUUUGCAUGUCUGAUGACUUUUGAUUAGAUGCAGGCGUUGUUCACUUUCCCUGUUGAGUUCUGAGUAUAUUUGCAUUCCUAUUAAAUAUCCCUGUGUUUUGCUCUGGACACAAAGUCAAGUUACUUGGAGACACAUUGGUCCUUCCAGCCUUCUGAGCUUUGGAGUCUGGACCAGCGCAGAGUUCGCUCCUGUCCCACAGCUGACCGCCCUGCCUGGUGCCCCUGGGACGACGAGGACAUCCUGGGGCCGGAGGGGGUGCAAAGACUCCCAGCCCUGUUCCGCCAGCUUCUUUCCAGAGUCCUUGCCAGCUCCGGGCAGCUCCCACAUGCCUGCCCCAUCCUGGAGCUCUGGCUGUGGGCAGUCCCUCCUCUCCGUCCCUGCCCUGUGGACUCUGGUGUGUGGGCCUCCCUGACUCCCAGCUUUGCCUCCUCCGC